rnacentral:rRNA from 1 species
UACGGAGGGGGCUAGCGUUGUUCGGAAUUACUGGGCGUAAAGCGCGUGCAGGCGGCCUUGCAAGUCGGACGUGAAAUCCCACGGCUCAACCGUGGAAGUGCAUUCGAAACUGCGAGGCUGGAGUCCUGGAGAGGAAAGUGGAAUACUCGGUGUAGAGGUGAAAUUCGUAGAUAUCGAGUGGAACACCGGUGGCGAAGGCGGCUUUCUGGACAGGUACUGACGCUGAGGAGCGAAAGCGUGGGAGCGAACAGG